UGUAGGUGCACAGGUAACUCUGGUGGAGUUUGAACCGGAGAUGUUUGGGAAACCUAGUCAUUGUGUUGUUGACUCUCACUGUGGACUGAUUGCUGUCUGAAUUUUAGGGUCUUGGAAGAAUGAAUGUCUGUUGGGUGUGUGCACUGGCUGAGGAAGACUUAGGAAUCUACAGAACAAGAAGUACUUGAAAUUGAUUAGCCUACUUUAUGUACAAAGGGUGCAUGAUUAUAAAAAAAUAUAUAUAAAUAGAUUUUUAUUGUCACUUCCCCCAGAUAGGUGCAGUGAAAUGUGUUGUUCUACAGAGUCAGCCAUAGUAGUACGGGUCCAUUGGGGCAAAUUAGGGUUAAGUGCCUUGCUCAAGGGCACAUUGGCCGAUUAUUCACCUUAUCGGAUCAGGUAUUCGAACCAGCGACGAACACUCCAACCGGUAAGGUAAGCAAGAAAACUGUGGCUGAUUUCAAAACUCUUUGAUACACCUGAGCAUCCUCUACUGGAGAAAGGCAUUCGAGGAAGAAAAUCCUCUACACUUAUUAACAAAGUGAACACUUAUCGGUUUCCAAGUCACAGAGGAGUGGAGUAAAGGACAGCCUUUUGCCCAAUUGACAAAAGGCCAGAGAGAUGACCUACCCUAUUGUCACGAUGGCUUCCUUGUUCUGACAGUUUCCGGUCCAGAUGGAUAUUUUAUCUCCCUUGGGUCGGAUGUUGACCACCGCUCCACACACAUCUUCACUGGCCUCGUCAAACGAUUCACCGAUUAAACACAACAGCUACAACACACACACAGUACAUGAUGUUAUGGAAUUAAUAAAAUGUUAUUUACGUGUUAA